rnacentral:rRNA from 1 species
UACGUAGGGUGCAAGCGUUGUCCGGAAUUAUUGGGCGUAAAGAGCUCGUAGGCGGUCUGUCGCGUCGGCUGUGAAAACCCGGAGCUCAACUCCGGGCCUGCAGUCGAUACGGGCAGACUGGAGUUCGGCAGGGGAGACUGGAAUUCCUGGUGUAGCGGUGAAACGCGCAGAUAUCAGGAGGAACACCGGUGGCGAAGGCGGGUCUCUGGGCCGAUACUGACGCUGAGGAGCGAAAGCGUGGGGAGCGAACAGG